GACACGGGUGGCAGCAGUGAGGAAUAUUGGUCAAUGGUCGGGAGACUGAACCGGCCAAGCCGCGUGAGGGAGGAGGGUACAGAGUAUCGUAAACCUCUUUUGUCAGGGAACAAAGACUGGGACGCGUCCCCGGAUGAGUGUACCUGAAGAAAAAGCAUCGGCUAACUCCGUGCCAGCAGCCGCGGUAAUACGGAGGAUGCGAGCGUUAUCCGGAUUUAUUGGGUUUAAAGGGUGCGCAGGCGGUCUGUUAAGUCAGCGGUCAAAGCCCGGGGCUCAACCCCGGCCCGCCGUUGAAACUGGCAGUC
rnacentral:rRNA from 1 species